GUUAACGCUGGCGGUAGGCCUAACCCCUGCCAGUCGCACGGCAGCACAGUAAGCGCUUGCUCUUACGGGUGGCGAGUGGCGGACGGGUGAGGAAUACAUCGGAAUCUACUUUUUCGUGGGGGAUAACGUAGGGAAACUUACGCUAAUACCGCAUACGACCUACGGGUGAAAGCAGGGGAUCUUCGGACCUUGCGCGAUUGUAUGAGCCGAUGUCGGAUUAGCUAGUUGGCGGGGUAAAGGCCCACCAAGGCGACGAUCCGUAGCUGGUCUGAGAGGAUGAUCAGCCACACUGGAACUGAGACACGGUCCAGACUCCUACGGGAGGCAGCAGUGGGGAAUAUUGGACAAUGGGCGCAAGCCUGAUCCAGCCAUACCGCGUGGGUGAAGAAGGCCUUCGGGUUGUAAAGCCCUUUUGUUGGGAAAGAAAAGCAGCAGGUUAAUACCCCGCUGUUCUGACGGUACCCAAAGAAUAAGCACCGGCUAACUUCGUG
rnacentral:rRNA from 1 species